GAUGAACGCUAGCUACAGGCUUAACACAUGCAAGUCGAGGGACCGGCGCACGGGUGAGUAACACGUAUCCAACUUGCCCUUUACUCGGGGAUAGCCUUUCGAAAGCAAGAUUAAUACCCGAUAUAAAGGAUGGGGAUGCGUUCCAUUCGGUUGUUGGUGAGGUAACGGCUCACCAAGCCUUCGACGGAUAGGGGUUCUGAGAGGAAGGACCCCGACAUUAGAGCUGAGACACAAUCCAAACUCCUACGGGAGGCAACAGAGAGGAAGAUUGUGCAAUGGGCGCUAGCCGGAACCAGCGAAGUAGCGUGAAGGAUGUAGGCGUAUGGGUAGUAAGCUUCUUUUAUAUAAGAAAAUGUAUUAAAUGAGUAAGGAACGGCUAACUCCGUGCCAGCAGCCGCGGUAAUAC
rnacentral:rRNA from 1 species